rnacentral:rRNA from 1 species
UACGUAGGUGGCAAGCGUUAUCCGGAAUUAUUGGGCGCAAAGCGCAUGUAGGCGGCCUUUUAAGUCUGAUGUGAAAGCCAGUGGCUCAACCACUGAAUUGCAUUGGAUACUGGAAGGCUAGAAUCUUGGAGAGGUAAGUGGAAUUUCAUGUGUAGCGGUGGAAUGCGUAGAUAUAUGAGGGAACACCAAUGGCGAAGGCAGCUUACUGGACAAGUAUUGACGCUGAGAUGCGAAAGUGUGGGUAGCAAACAGG